rnacentral:rRNA from 1 species
CCCUACUGCUAUCGGGGCGGGACUAAGACAUGCAAGUCGUGCGUCUCUAAGCCAUGGUAGAGACGCGGCGUACGGCUCAGUAACACGUGGCUAACCUACCCUUAGGACGGAGACAACCCCGGGAAACUGGGGCUAAUACCCGAUAGGUGAGGAGGCCUGGAAUGGUUCUUCGCUGAAAAGGCGUUGAAACCAUGCUUUUCAACGUCGCCUAAGGAUGGGGCCGCGUCCGAUCAGGUUGUUGGUGGGGUAACGGCUCACCAAGCCUAUAACCGGUACGGGCCGUGAGAGCGGGAGCCCGGAGAUGGGCACUGAGAUAAGGGCCCAGGCCCUACGGGGCGCAGCAGUCGCGAAAACUCCGCAAUGCGCGAAAGCGUGACGGGGCUACCCCGAGUGCCGUCCGCUGAGGAUGGCUUUUCCCCGGUGUAAUGAGCCGGGGGAAUAAGGAGAGGGCAAGACUGGUGUCAGCCGCCGCGGUAAUACCAGCUCUCCGAGUAGUAGGGACGAUUAUUGGGCUUAAAGCGUCCGUAGCCGGCUUAGCAAGUCUCCUGUUAAAUUCAGCGACCUAAUCGUUGAGCCGCGGGAGAUACUACUAGGCUAGGAGGCGGGAGAGGCCGACGGUAUUUCCGGGGUAGGGGUGAAAUCCUAUAAUCCCGGGAGGACCACCAGUGGCGAAGGCUGUCGGCUAGAACGCGCUCGACGGUGAGGGACGAAAGCUGGGGGAGCGAACCGGAUUAGAUACCCGGGUAGUCCCAGCUGUAAACGAUGCGGGCUAGGUGUUGAGGUGGCUACGAGCCACUUCAGUGCCGCAGGGAAGCCAUUAAGCCCGCCGCCUGGGGAGUACGGCCGCAAGGCUGAAACUUAAAGGAAUUGGCGGGGGAGCACCACAAGGCGUGAAGCUUGCGGUUCA